GAACGCUGGCGGCGUGCUUAAUACAUGCAAGUCGAACGAAGAGCCCUUAACCGAAGAUGAUGACGUGCUUGCACUGAAUCUGAUUCACCUUAGGGUUACUGAGUGGCGGACGGGUGAGUAACGCGUGGGUAACCUGCCUUAGACAGGGGGAUAACAUCAAGAAAUUGGUGCUAAUACCGCAUAUGCUCACAGUAUCGCAUGAUACAGUGAGGAAAACUCCGGUGGUCUAAGAUGGACCCGCGUCUGAUUAGCUAGUUGGAGGGGUAACGGCCCACCAAGGCGACGAUCAGUAGCCGACUUGAGAGAGUGAUCGGCCACAUUGGGACUGAGACACGGCCCAAACUCCUACGGGAGGCAGCAGUAGGGAAUAUUGCACAAUGGGGGAAACCCUGAUGCAAGCGACGCCGCGUGAAGGAUGAAGUAUUUCGGUAUGUAAACUUCCAUCAGCAAGGAAGAAAAUGACGGUACUUGACUAGGAAGCCCCGGCUAAAUACGUGCCAGCAGCUGC
rnacentral:rRNA from 1 species